UACAGAGGUCUCAAGCGUUGUUCGGAUUCAUUGGGCGUAAAGGGUGCGUAGGUGGCGCCGUAAGUCAGGUGUGAAAUUUCGGAGCUCAACUCCGAAACUGCAUUUGAUACUGCGGUGCUUGAGGACUGGAGAGGAGACUGGAAUUCACGGUGUAGCAGUGAAAUGCGUAGAGAUCAUGAGGAAGACCAGUGGCGAAGGCGGGUCUCUGGGCCAUUCCUGACGCUGAGACGCGAAAGCGUGGGGAGCAAACAGGAUUAGAUACCCGAGUAGU
rnacentral:rRNA from 1 species